rnacentral:tRNA from 1 species
UUUCAAGGAGGCAGCCCGGGGGAACGCGCCCUGGGGGUAG